UACAGUAGAGGUUAGGUGCUAGCUGCUAUAUACGAAUAGGCAAUAAACCUCAUAUACAAGAGUAAGGGUGUGCUCUGCCUAUUCCCGAUAAGACCUGAAAGAGAGAGAGGACAAAGUACCAGGUGCGCCGAGGAUGACGACGACGAACGUCAAGGUAGCCCCGAGGCCGAUCUAGUUAGCAAAAACACAAAAUUUUAAAAUCCCCUUCCUGAAGGCGUGCCAGGUUGGCUGCAGUGAAAAUUCGCUUUUUCUUCCAUAUGAUUCAUGCAGGCGACCGAAUACGGUGACUGACAACGGAAUGAGACAUCUUUCUCGUCCGAGGAAAGAACAAAGGAACGGAGCACCGAGGGAAACGAACGACCAGUGGAAAUUUUGUGACGCCAAGCGAUUUUAGUCGUCGGAGGAAUCAGAAGGAUGAAACGAUGAAACAUGUAUUGCUUGGCAACGUUGACCCGGCGCGAACUUUGAACUGUCUUUUAUUCCCCUCCGGCGAUUUACACUUGACUGAUCAUGGCUUAAGAGUCAUGCAGAUAAAUAUAUGUAUAACGAAUAUU